rnacentral:rRNA from 1 species
AGCAGCCGCGGUAAUUCCAGCUCCAAUAGCGUAUAUUAAAGUUGUUGCAGUUAAAAAGCUCGUAGUUGAAUUUCGGGACUAAUAUGUCGGUCGUACUUUGUACGUACUAGCAUUAUUGGUUUCUCCCUUCUGACGAACCACGAUGUCAUUAAUUUGGUGUCAUGGGGAAUCAGGACUGUUACUUUGAAAAAAUUAGAGUGUUUAAAGCAAGCUCGCGCUUGAAUACAUUAGCAUGGAAUAAUGAAAUAGGACGUUUGAUUCUAUUUUGUUGGUUUCUAGGAUCGACGUAAUGAUUAAUAGGGAUAGUUGGGGGCAUUAGUAUUCAAUUGUCAGAGGUGAAAUUCUUGGAUUUAUUGAAGACUAACUACUGCGAAAGCAUUUGCCAAGGAUGUUUUCAUUAAUCAAGAACGAAAGUUAGGGGAUCGAAGACGAUCAGAUACCGUCGUAGUC